rfam:Gossypium hirsutum cultivar TM-1 chromosome 24, whole genome shotgun sequence
AAACCAUGCAUCAAGCAUUUUCUAACUCCUUGAAUCUCUCCCAUGCUUCAUAUAAUGUCUCAUCCUCGGAUUGCCGAAAAGAUGUAAUAUUAUUCCUCAACUU